rnacentral:lncRNA from 1 species
GUCCUAACCUAUGAAGCAGUUGUGUGCGUCACAGAAAUAGGUGACUUUAAAAGAGUGAAGAAACUCUUAUCUUUCAAUGUCGGUUAUUUGGAUGAGAAGGAUGUAUUUUGGAUUGUAAUUGUUGAUACUAAAGCGUCUUGUGUGCAAGACGUGGCAAAGUUUGCUGUGGCAAAGCAUAAUGAAGACGAACAUGAUAGUCUUGUCUACCUUUCUAUCACUAAAGGUUGGUAUCGAGAACUUGACCCGUAUAAUGCUAUAUUCUUCGAAAUUCAUCUUACGACGAAGGAUUGUUUUGGACGAGUGCGUGAGUUUAAGGCUUUGGUUCUAGAAGACAAACCUCAAAAGGAGAAAAUCCGAACACUCAAAUAUUUCGAAGUUAUAAAGAAAUGUUGAAAACUUGCUAUCUAUAUGUAAGUGAGAGUGGUUAUGUUAUGUGUUAUGUCUAUGUUCUUGACUAUAUAUCCAUAAAUGAAUAGUCAAGUUUAAACUAAAUAAAACGUUUUAAAUUAUAUGUCACUCUUUAUGCCAAAUUUUAUUAAGGAAGUUGUUUAUAUUAUAACCUAUUAGUUAUUGGGAAUUUAUACGAGAUAUAAAUAAAGUCACUUCAUUAAAAUGAAAAUGUAAUAGAUCGAUGGUAAUAAGAAAUGUGUGGGGUGCCAUUUGAUUGCUUUUAGCAUUGUUUACUUAUGUUCUAUGAUCGUAUUGACACAUGAGGUCACUUCCAACUUAUAAUCAACAAAUGCAAAUUGAUUCACAAAUUAAAGGCAUUCAGUUCAAUUGCACCUAGUAAUUAAGUUGUAUAUUUGUUACUGUGUUUCGGUUACAACUACCAUUAUUGUUAUUGUUUCAGCUGAAAAAUUAUCAAUUUGACAUUUUAAUAUUGUCGUUAUUGUAAUCGCUUUGGAAACCUUAUCCUUUGAAUUCCUAAGUCGUAUAAGAAGUUAAGUAGAGGUUGUUGUUGAUGUGUUGUGUUGUUAACGUAGCUUAAUUGAAGGAUUAAAGGCUUGUUUGAAAUUCAACUAAGUGUUUGGGAGCUAGGGUAACCAACUUAGGUGUUAUGAGAACCUUCAAGAGUAUGAUGACCAAUAGUAGUUUAAGUGGCCAAGUAGAAGAGCCCUGGUGUGAAACUCCGAUCUGCAAAACAACAAGAAUGCAGGAAGUAGUGUAGAUAGGACACAAUUUAGCUUAAAACCUUGCAAUUGAUCUUAUCACCUAACUCAAACUCAACCCCUUUUAAACUACCAAGUGAAAAACAUAACGUAAUGGAAGUCAACAUAAACGUCAAGUACAAUAAUUAACAUAACCAAAACUUACGCUUAUUUAGAAUGAUUUUGACCACAUGGUUAUAUUGGUACAAUAUGUAGUUUAUUGAAAAUGGACUUGAAGGAGAUGCUGAUUCUGGCGGUGAAGAAGAUGAACCGGAGGACACUGAUGGUGUGAAAGUGGAACAUCUCUACACAUUUCAGAUUAUCAAGGUUUUGCACUAAUAACCGAUUGAUUUACUAUAGUGAUGAAGCUACCAAGCAAGUGAUUGAUGUUUGAUUCGUGACAAGACUUGUUGCAAUUUAGUUAUCUAUGACAAUACAUUGCAUUUAGUUUCUUUGUAAAAAUAUAUUACCAAUGUUUAGUUUCUAUUUCACUUGUAUUUAUCCCUUUGGGAAAAUUCGAUAGAUUUAGUGUACUUAGUUUUUUUGUAAAUAUGUUAUCUAUGUUAUUUUUAUAUAUGAAAGUUCUUAUUUAUAUGUGUACUAGUUUUGUGUUAAAAUGGAAUCAUUGGAUAACAGGAAAAAAAUCUAAUUGAAUUACAAUUUUUUUUAUAAAAAAAAUUCAUAACAUAUUUGACGGUUAUAAAAUGUCAUAAACAAGUCCAUCCUUGACGGUUUUUCAAUGUCAUAAACAAUCAAUUUCUUGACGGUUAUUAAAUGUCAUGAAUACUUAUACUCUUGACGAUUUUAAGUUGUCAUAAACAUUCACACUCUUGACGGUUUUUACCUGUCAUGAACAUUUGUAUACUUGACAUUUAUAAAACGUCAACGUUCAAUAUUCUUGACGUUUUUAUCAACCGAUAAGAACUUUGGCUUUCUUGACACUGGCUUCAAGGACGGUUAUAUUAAUUUGAUUCAUGAUAAAAUUAUUGGUUAUGAGAGAAAUUUGUAUUUGAAUAUGAUUCAAAUUUAACUUAUCUUAAAUAUAAGAUAUUUAAUUUAGUUGUUAAUUAAUUAGAGAAUUAGUUAAUAGUUUAUUUUAAUAUUAUUUAAUUAAAUUAAUAUAAAACUAUAAGAUAUUAUUGAAAGAUAUUCAUUAAAUAAGAUUUAAAUAAAAUAUUAAUUAAAUAUGAUUUAAUUAAUUAUUAACUAAUUGAUUACUUGUUAAUUAAUUAGUUGAUUUGAAAUUUAUGCUAAUUUAAUAUUUUUUAAAUUAAUAGAAUCUCAUGAUUCUCUUCGACUCUCUUUCCUUAGAUACAAUUUUCUUUAACAAUUCAAUCAACCAAAAUAAAACUAAUAAUUUUGUUUUUCCACAAAAGAGUUUCUCUAAAAAAAUCUCCAAACUUUUUUCCAUCCGAAUUGGUUCCCCACAAACCAAUCUCAUCUCAAAAAAUACGGAGGUGUCCGAAACCAAUCUCAUCUCAAAAAAUAGGGAGGUGUCCGAUGGGUGAUGUCCCAAUUUUGUGAUUUAUUUUGUAGAUUCAGAGAUGUUAACACAAGUAAGUUUUUCUUUCUCUAAUCUAUAAUUAGAAAACAUGCUUAGCCGUUAAGUCUUAAUAAGAAAAUUUGUUUUUAUUGUAUUUUGUCAUUCUACUAGUAUUUUGGGAUUUCCAAAUUAAAUUGAGAAAUGAUUCUAAAAUCUUUCACUGCCAAUGACUUUUAUCCCUUCAACGAUGGCCUGAGAAACAAUCUCUAAAUUUUCUGUCUUUCAUCCUACCCAGCAAGCAUCAAGAUGCUCAUGCCUUUGUUCUGGGCCUAAUCUUUGUUUUCCAUCUCCCCGAAGAUUACUCAACUUAGUAAGAAAAUAGGAUAGAAGAUACAGCUAUUACAUUCUUCCGCUCUUUGCUUACUUUGCUUGCUUAGCUUUUCUUAGAUCACAAAUGAGGAUCAUGCCUCUUAUUUAUAGGCAUAAAAUCCUUGGAGCCUAAUGUGUCACACUUCAUCCCGAACAUAUCCUAACAAAGCGAUACACAGUGUGACUUGAGUAUUCAUGACUUGUUUAAACAAAAGAAACCUCAACCUAGGUUCUUAAGCUUAGCUCAAAUGCCUGAUCACUGAGCACUUACACUUAUUUUCACAUUUGUAAGUGAUAUUAUAACAUUAUAACACAACGAAUAAGAGAUAAAAAAACAACUCCAUUUCAUUAACUUUCAAUUAUGUGAUCUACAUUACACUUUACAUACAUUGAAGCACAUGUAUAAAACUUAAUUUAAAUGCUCUAGGAUAGCCUUCUGGCCUAGUUAGCCUCUUAAGCCCUUCUUACUCUAAGAUGAACGCCUAAUCACCUGGGAAGUGGAAAAUCUUAAAACAUAAGUCAAAAGACUUAGUGAAUGAAGUUUUAAAAAAACCUUUUCGAAACAUGUUACAUAAAUCAUAACUAUUUCAAUCGUAUAAUACAUAAUACACAUUAGUCUUGUGUCUCUUUCGUCGGAAACAUGAACCAUUCCCUAAGUUAAGACCCAGCAUCUUAAUUCAUUCAUCAUUGCUCAGGUCGCCUAACACAAUACACAUCUUUUAUACAUUGGCUAGCUUCACUCUAUCCGUAGUCCCUUUUUACAUCACUGCAUUACUUCUUAUGUGCACAUAGUUAGCUCUUUGAUAGGAUUAAAACUAAUGCUUUGAAAAUAUUCUUUCACAUUCGUUGAAACACAAAACAUUGCUUUUAAAACAUAAGCUUUCAUUUAAAUUUAUUUAUAAGUACUCAUUACAAACAUGAAUUCAAAAGAAAGCUUUAAGUUUACAAACAUUUACAAAUAUCACUCACUCACAAAAUUCAGUUGCCUUAAAUCCAGAUUGCUUCUACACUUCUUCUUCUUGCGUAGUCCUUCAACAACAACUUCAACACUUAGUUUUUCUUUUUCAAACUUUUAGAAUAACUUCCUUCUUCUAAUUCCUUCCUCUAUUUAUAAUAAUCCUAAUUUCGAUUAGUCAUCCUUAAGGUUCCUAAAAUAUGGCCAGCUUCUACUUGCUUAAAGUAUUAUACGUGUAAGCUUAGUAUUUCACUCAAUCUUACUUAACUUCAGCUUAACACGUAACCCUUGUCAAAUCAAAUUGAUAUUUUCUCGCUUGCCUUUUCUCGCAAAGAACUCUACUCGCCUAACUGCCUUUUAAUCGCCAAAGUCCUUAUCAUGUUGCCUUCAUUACGGAAUAAGACUUAAACACCUAAACGUCAGUUUUCAAAAUAUAAACUUCUUCAAAAUGCCUUCUCUCAAUAUUUAGUAAAAAAUUUGACACUUCAAAUAUAAACUUGGGUCUCACACAAUGUAAAGCCAUGAUCCAAAGAAAAGGGGUUGUGUUAAAGAGGAGUUAUGUUAAAAAGAGACAUUUUGGCUAAGCGUAAAUAAUAAGCAAUCUGUGAUCAAGGAUGCCUUCAAGGAAAGGUGAUGCAAGGAGAGAUGCUUACAGUCACUGUUGCGUCGAAGCGAGGUGACGCGAUAUGAUUAGCUGGCGAGGAAGAAGCAUGCAUUUAAUGCAAAGAACUAGACAACAACACGGGAAUAAGUACCUAUGCCUAAAGUGUUGAUGCAAUGAAUUAAGUGUUUCAUUGAAAGGAUGGAUGUUCGUAUGAGGCGACUAGACGACUAUCUGAGGGAAAGUAAAUGUUCUAUUAUUUUUCAAGAAGGGAGUCAGAUGAAAAAGAAUUGAGCAUUCCAAAAAGAUAAGGUUAGCGUUUCAAGAGAAAUAUCUAAUUGCGAGUAACAAUUGGCAACGUGUUGAAAUUAUGUUGGUUGUAUAGCUUGAUGAGUUAUAGCUUGACACAUGUAAAGCGUGGAAAUGACCCAUGAGUUUGAAAGGUCGCUAUAAAUAGGACCAAAGAGGUCGGAAGAAAGAGGGGCAUAAGAUGCUAAACAUUAUGAUUAAUUGUUAAGAGAAAGUGUCGAGUGUUGAAAGGUCGAUUAAGGGAAUCACUAGGCAAGACGAGAAAGCCAAAAGUAAGAAAAGGAAAGAGUUUAGGCUAAGUAUUUCUGUGAGUGAUCCUUUUAAAUGAAAGAAAUAUUUUGUGAAUGAUUGCUCUUUUUAAUCUUAUGUUUGACGAUUAACAUUUGAUAAUGAUACUAAUGUGAUGUGAUGUGUUGUAUGUAAUGCUUUUGAGAUAAUGCUUCUUAUCUUAUUGGCUGUAAUGAUUGAAUGAUGUAUUGGUGGAAGUGAAUCCCAGGUCUAGGGCAAAUAAAUGUUGAUGAAAGUGAAUCCCAAGUCUGAGCGAGAAAUGAAUUUUGUUCUUCAUAGUUGGGUGCUGGUGAAAGUGAAUCGUAGAUCUAGGUGAGGUUGUAUCAUGAGACACUGGUGGAAGUGAAUUCCAGGUCUAGGGGAUGGUCUCAGGUUUGAGUGUAGAACGAUCAUUGUGAGACACUGGUAGAAAUUUCAAGUUUAUCACGAGACACUAGUGAAGUGAAUCCCAGGUUCAGGGGAUUGGAUGUGGAUUGAAGAAUCUCAGGUCCCGAUGAUAAAUGAUGAACAUGCUGAUGAAUGAAAUGUAUGGAAUUGCGUUCUUAAGAAUAAGAUUGUUAUUAUUGAAAAUGUUGUUUUCCCUAAAAAUGUAUUUUCUCUAAACUCAUCACUCACUAACUUUGUUACUUAUAUUUUAAGUUUUUCUUCCCCAGGUUGUCAGGCGUUGAAGCUAAGUAAAGAAUGGAUGUCAGGUGUAGAAGCCAAGUAAAGGAGGAAAGGUGGGAUGUUAUGUAAACUUGCACGGUGAGAAAGGUGGUCCUCUGUGUACAUGAAUCUUCGAUUAUUGUUUUCGUUUCACAAAUAUUCUUAGAAAGUAAUAUCGGUAUCAUUUUUCAUCCUUGUUUCUUGAAUUUAUUCUUUUAAGUUCCAAUACAAAGAUAUAUUGCCCCAAAAAAAAGGUAUAUAAAAGAUGAUGAAAUGUGAAUUACCUUUUUUUUAUCUUUAUUAUAAAGAAUUUGGUGGAUCUUUGAUUCAUAGGUAACGUCUCCAAACUACUUUACAAGUUAUGAAGAUCCUCCAUUUAUACUCCUGAUUUCAGAAUGCUCCCACUUGUAAAGUAGUUUGGAUACCUUCUGUGGAAAGCUUUUUAUGCUAUUGUCUAGGGUCUUUAGGGAGAAAAACAAUAGAAUUUUCAAAGGAGCCGAGAGACCUUUGUGUGAGGUGUGGUGUCUUGUGAGAUAUCAUGCCUUUUUUUUUUUGUGUUUUCGUUUAUAAGGAAAUUAUCUUGUAAAUACCUUACCACCACCACCUUCUUGAUUUAAGAUAUUUGCAUUGGUACAUACAUAUGUAACAGAGAAAAACAAUUGCAAUAAGUGAUCGUGGUUCUUAUUUUAAUUACACUUUUUCUUACUUUUAUAUUUUUAAAGACAAAAGAAAAGAA